rnacentral:rRNA from 1 species
UACAGAGGUCUCAACCGUUGUUCGGAUUCAUUGGGCGUAAAGGGUGCGUAGGCGGUCGCGCAAGUCGGAUGUGAAAUCUUAGGGCUCAACCCUGAAACUGCAUUCGAUACUGCGUGGCUCGAGUACUGGAGAGGAGACUGGAAUUUACGGUGUAGCAGUGAAAUGCGUAGAUAUCUGGAGGAACACCGGUGGCGAAGGCGGCAUCCUGGACCGGUAUUGACGCUGAGGCGCGAAAGCUAGGGGAGCAAACGGG